AAAUCUUGCAUACUGAGCCUUGUCCAAGGAAAGGAGCUUUGUUGUUCCAAAACCAGCAAUCUUUGCCGGAAAUGUACUAAUUCUAGGCAUUUCGAGCUUAGAUCCAGAAAAAACAUCCACUAUUACAUUGGCAGUUCUGACAUCGCCAUGAACCAUACGUACAUAGGAAGUGAAAGGAUGUUCAAUACUCUGCCACGCCUUACCAAAAAGAGCGUCAUGCAAGCCCAUCUCACCAUACUCAUAGACUAA
rnacentral:lncRNA from 2 species